rnacentral:lncRNA from 1 species
AACUGUGCUGACUUUGAACGGGAAUUAAUGUCGAAGAUGCCCCUGAAAUCCAAAGCCGGAAUUCAGAUGAAAGACUUCUACAGUUUUGAAUUUGACAUGCCUGUAUCAUUGCAAAGAGGCUGAAAACCUUAAGCUUUCCAUCCUGAAGUCCUGCAUAUGCAAGGACUUAUCACUUAAACAACCACCACACAACAGAAUGAGCACUGAUCUAAGGAUGUAUGCGUGCCCCAUCCCACGAGGACAGUAGUGUUCUGGGGCUCCUGGUCUGAAUAGAAGUGCUGAUAUGACAGCAUGAAGCCUCCCAUCCUCAGAAAGAGGAAAAGCUUAAAUUUUUGGAAUUCUGUUGAAAUAUUUUUAUGGCAUUCAUUGAACUCCACUGUGUUCCCAGAAGCCAGCUGUGUAGGAUGCUUCCCUUGGAGAAAGGUAAAACUGUCACUAGAAAAAUUACCUUGUCUUGGCCUUUGCAGCAAUUUUUUGUCUCCCAGGCCCAUGCAUUCACCAAAGGAAAUCAUUUGUUUCUCUAAUUGUCUCAAUACUUUUGUCCAUGCAAGGAGAUUAUAG